rnacentral:rRNA from 1 species
CUAGUCGUGCGCCUUCUAGCCAUGAUGAAGGCGCGGCGCACAGCUCAGUAGCACGUGGCUAACCUGCCCUUGGGACAGGAAUACCCCCGGGAAACUGGGGCUAAUACUUGAUAGGUGGAGACUCCUGGAAUGGAUCUUCGCCUAAAGGGCGCCUAGGCCAUGCUUCUAGGCGCUGCCCAAGGAUGGGGCCGCGGCCGAUCAGGUUGUUGGUGAGGUAAUGGCCCACCAAGCCUAUAACCGGUGCGGGCCGUGGGAGCGGGAGCCCGGAGAUGGGCACUGAGACAAGGGCCCAGGUCCUACGGGGCGCAGCAGUCGCGAAAACUCUGCAAUACACGAAAGUGUGACAGGGCUACCCCGAGUGCCGUCCGCUGAGGAUGGCUUUUAUCCAGUCUAGAUAGCUGGAGGAAUAAGGAGAGGGCAAGUCUGGUGUCAGCCGCCGCGGUAAUACCAGCUCUCCGAGUGGUGGGGAUGAUUAUUGGGCCUAAAGCAUCCGUAGCCGGCCGGGCAAGUGCCCUGUUAAAUCCACCGAUUCAAUCGGUGGAUUGCGGGGUAUACUGCUCGGCUAGGGGACGGGAGAGGUCGACGGUAUUUCCGGGGUAGGGGUGAAAUCCUAUAAUCCCGGAAAGACCACCAGUGGCGAAGGCUGUCGGCUAGAACGCGCCCGACGGUGAGGGAUGAAAGCUGGGGGAGCGAACCGGAUUAGAUACCCGGGUAGUCCCAGCCGUAAACGAUGCAGGCUAGGUGUUUGGGCGGCCACGUGCCGCUCUAGU